CCCCAAAUUCUCUAAAUAAAAACGAUGGCAUCAAUAGAUUUAUGCCCUAACUUUGCUGCUCCUUCUCGCAGUUCUGCCCCCCAAUGUGAAGAUGGCUAGGCGAAAGAGUCAAAGAUCAGAGGCAUAGAGCUCUUGAUGGAGUCCAAUCAUGGACGCAAUAAGGAGCGGGAGAAGCAUAUCCCCAGUUUAGGAAAUCAACCUCGAGGGAAUCCCAAGACAAAGUGUGGAGACUUCAAUUUUUCUAACAGUUCAAAAAUGUUGAGCGGUCGUCACACAGGAUGAGGGGAUAGUCAGACAACCUCCGAGGCUGACAACGCUGAAUGGUGUAGGAGAAGGUUGUAUCUCCCGGCAGAGUGUUUCAACAACAACUCAAGCUUCAAACAGUCGUCUGAUCAAUAAUCGGAGGGAAACCUAGAGAAUGGCGAGCAUUCAAUAGAGAGUGCUCGGGAAUCUCAACCGCCACUUAAUACCACGACUGAGAAACAGUGGGAGCUCACUGCAUGUAUUGAGGACUCAUACCCACGGACUGGCUCAGGAGGCGGUGAGGGAGAAUUUCCAGCCAGAAGAGGACGUAACAGUUAAGAUGCUCCCCUCAGUGGAAGUGCAUAUCAUCAGCGUUUCGUCAAGUGCUGGUCCAGGCUAAAAACAGAAACGGUGGAAUAUGAUCUACAUAUAGUGCCUGUAUGCCCUAUGAGAUCCGACGUGGUUCCAUUUGGUGACCCUGCUAUGGAAUUGUCAUGGUCUUACAACCGACAAUGCUAUGAUUACCAUUCGUGACCGUAUAGCAAUACACCGACCUGAUGUGCCGGUGCUCACGAAGACCAGACUUUGUCUCAGCCGUGCACGGGAGUUUGCUGACAGGCUUCCAUUUGAUGGUUGGGAGGCUACUCCCACUAUUGGGCACUGGGGUGGCAUUCUACUUAUGUGUCGCUCUGAUUUUGUCCUAGUCAACACACUUGAAAUGGCUUUGUUUUUGAAAUGGAGGUAAGAAAUUCUACUUUGAAAUGGCUUUGUUUUUGCGAUAUACGCCAACCCUAGGCUAGAAGAAGGAAUAGUAUUAUGGAAUAACAUAGAAUCUAUUGCUUUGGUUCAUAAUAUGCCUUGGCGUGCAAUUAGUGAUUUUAAUGAAGCUCAAUGAUUCUGAGAAAUUUGGGUGUAAACCAGGACGCAUGUUUAUUGAUCUCAGGUUUGCUGAGGUCUUAGAUAAUUGUUCAUUUACGGAUUUGGGUUUUUCUGGUCCUA